CGUCCCUCGGAUGCAACACACAGCCAUUUUCAUAGAACCCCAGGGAGACUGAAACUGAACUGUUAGUAUGGAACAAGGAGUUGACAAUGAUGGCAGGGAUUUUAAGCCAGAUGGGAAAGGAGAGGAGCUGCCUAGUAGGCUUGCCAAAGAGCUAUUUGGAGCAGGCAGUGAUGUGGUUAUAGAGCAAAGACCUUAAAGGUAAUCAGCUACACCCCUCAUUUCCCAGAGGAACCAUUUCAACUGAGAGAGGGUGUGGUCGUCAGCCUUCAAGAUGGUCUCCUAGAAUUCCUGCCCUUGUGUUGUCUCUCUCCCAGACUGACUAGGGCUGACCUGUGCAACCAACAGAAUGUUGAGGAAAUCACAAUUUGUGACUGCUGAGCCUAGAUCAUAAAGCACAUUGUGACUGCUCUCUUGGAUCACUCGCUCUGCGGAAGCUCUAGCUUCCAUGUCACAAGGACACUCAAGUGGUCCUAUGGAGAGGCCCUCACGGUGAAAAAUUGCAGCCUCCUGCCAACAGCCAACAAGGAACUGAGGUCUCCUGCUCAUAGCCAUGUGGAUGAACCAUCUUGGAAGAGGACACUCUAGCCCCGUCCAGCUGCUGAACUCACAUUAUGUGGAUAUCUGCACCAUUAGCCAUUUUUCUAGGACCUGCUUUGUUUUGCAAGGAUUCCCUAUUGAAUGUUCUAGGACACAGAUGGAGGCAGCAUCACCGGUGGAUGAAGAGGUUACCUCAACUUUAGCACGACCUGCGAAGCUAGACGGAGUAUUCCUGGCCACCAUUCAACAAGCCUCAACUGAGCGCCUGCCAUAUGACAAGUGUCAAAAAAGCCACAUCUACAGGAUGCAUUUCCUAGAGGCACAGUUCAAUAGAGAGCCAGGGGGUGAAAAAAAAAGAGAAAAGAAAAAUAAGAAAGCUAUAACAUUUGAGCUUGAAAUGUCACAGGGAGCCAAGGAAGUUGUCUGAUGGAUUGCCCUGUCAUCUCCAAGCCAAAAGAAAAAAAAAAAUUUCAGAGCCAUCAAUUUGUUCCUGCCCUUUUAAUCCAAACAAUAUUUUACAGCAUCAGAACGCAAAGAAAUUAUUUUCUUAGACAUUCAACAAUGCGCGUGGAUUGCUGAGCACUUCACCAGAAAGCAGCAAGUGAGAACUACAAGAUGUUCAAAUGUCUACACAUCGUAUUGAUCCACAUUACACGUAAAAAUACACUAUAAUAUACAUGGUAGCCUA